GAGUCUACUACAUUCACACACUUCAAUAACUUAAUUGACACAACAACACACCUAAUUAUGGGCACUGGACAUGAGCGAACAUUUGCACUGUAAUUGAUCCUCUCCCUCAUUGAAACCUCAAUGUAGAUAUCAACUGCUCAUCCACUGUAACUUCAUGUUCUUAUGAUGACUGGGGCCUGCGAGCCCGAAAUGCGUUCUACCUAUUUACAAAUAAACUUGAUUAUCCAAAAAAAAAUGCUUUGACAACAUACCUGAAUCUUGCUGGGUGCCAGUCACUGCCACCCUUGUGCUGUAAGCUCCUACAAGCAGCUUCUAUUGGCUCCCCUGAGCCAACUCCUUGUAUACAAAGCUGUAUUUCUGGCACUAUAGCUCCCUCUGCCAACCC